UUCUAAGACCUACGAACUGUGAGCGUGUGUCGAGCUAGAGAGCGUGAUAGCCGAUGGCGAAAACCAUUUGAUUAGCGUCCUUGGAGAGCGGAAUGAGUUUUCACGGUGUUCAUGGUGCAUGGUGCACGUUGAGAGGAAUAAUAAAUCGACACCCGUUUGAAACUCUCUGCGUCUUGAUCAAUAAAUCCAAGGGGCCGCUA